GUUUUUUUUUGGUUUUUUUAAGGUUUUUUAAUUUAACCUUAAAAGUCAUUUUCGUAUACAAAGACAAAGAAAAACAGAAAUUUUAGUGGAAAAACAAAUGAUAUGAUGAAUGAAAAAUUUGAAAGUUUACAAAGUUUUUUU
rnacentral:sRNA from 1 species